UCCUGAGAGCUGGAAACAGGAGCAUCUGUGAGGAAUAUGUAUCUUCUAGACUCCAUAAGACAGAAAAUCUCUUCAUAGUGUGGCAAAAUAGUGGGCAACAUGCCUGAAGCUUGAGCGUCCCAAGGGACAUGUAACAACUCAAGAUAAUAACUUUACUAACUAAAUUAGGGGAAUACUAUGUGAUUUAGGUAACAAAUCACAUAUUAUCAAAUAAUGUAGCAAGUGACUAAAGCAGCACUCUUAAAUUAUUUCAAACAUAUCCAUAUAAAGUAUAACAUUCAUACUGAGUGCAUCAUUACAAAUCAGUCUGGGGAAAGUUUACCAAGAGAAAAAAUAGAAACAUUGUUCCUUAUAAAUAGUUAGCCUUUGUGUUUAUGGAACAGUCAACAUAAUUUAUAGAAAGAUUUUCCUUUUUGGGGAAAUGUUUUUCUAGCAUUUCCCUCCAGAUACACAGUAUUUGUAAUUUGCUAUACUUUAUUCACAUAUAUAUGCAUAUCAUCUACAUGGUGGUGACAAACAGACAUUGAUAAAUUGAACUAAUUCUGUGGGGGUUUUGAUUUAAAUUCUCAAUCCCAGUAGACAGUGUCAUUUUAAUAUGAUGAAUAAAGCAAGCAAAUAAAUAUUUCCUUUCUCCCAAAUGUGGAAUGAAUUAUUUCCUUUUCUCACAAAAAUAUGGACUUCCCUUCUACAAACUACAGUGGAACAGAAGAAUAUUUAAAUUACAAUCUAGAAGUAAUUAGAGGUAAGGUAAGUUUAUGUAUGUUUUGACCAAGUCAGUCUGGAAAUAAACUGCAAUCCUUGCCAGAAAGGAUUUUUUUUUCCCCCUAAUUUUCAAAGAUCCUGUUCUAGGUGCGGAUACAGUACACACAGGCUAUUUUUAGGCAUUUUAAAAACAGAAGGGAAAACAAGACUUUUCACUUUUCCAUACUUCCACAUGCAGAAAUCUUGUACUGUUGAUAAAGGAGACCCUUGGUAUUAAAGGUGGAAACAAGGUGUUUUAUUUUGAAGUUAUUUUAAAAAAACUCUUUAGAAUUAGCAUAGUUUUCCUGUACAAUGUUUAAUACCUUCCAGUAUAACAAACUUUAGUGCAGAGACUGUGAUUUUUUUUAUUCUUAUUUCACCUUAGAGACCCAGCCAAUGAACAACAUGAAAAGAUGAAAUGCAGAGCAAAAAGAAGCCCAAACCCAUAGCUGAAUUACUGCAUACUGUGGGAAGCAAGCAAUGAGUCACGUGACAUGCCAAAGUAAUGUUGAUACUUUAUACUAACAUGUUACAUUUCCAAGUGCGUAUGUACUUCAGCAUGGUGUGGAGGCACUGCUGCUUCAGUCUGGUUUGCAAAAUGCAAGGCAACCCAUUCUCAGCUAUUAUUCACUCUAAAUAUAUUGAACACAGGACUGGUGAUUAAUAUCUCUUGUUGUGUUACCUUGGUUGUUAAUGAAAAACAUUGGGUGUUCCCUUCACUACGCAGAGUGCAAACUCAUAAAAAAAAAAAAAUCACGGGUGAACUCCUUAUGAACACUUCUAAUUGCUCAGGCACAGUGUUUGAAAAUCUCAAGUAAUUUGCCAUUAAAAUAAUGAAUAGCAUAAACUGUAAUUCUUCAUAGUAAUUAACUUGUGUCAGCACCAUUAUUUUUCAUUAAUUAUAAAUGAAAAAGAAUAAAAGAUCACCUGCAGGAACAGAUGUGUGAAAUUGUCUCUGAGGUUCUGUUGUAGCCUUUUUUUCUUCUUCCCUCCAACAAGUUAUAUUGAGAAUGGUAUCCAGCCAUGCAAGAAUGCAGAUGGUAGAGACAGUCCAGGAGAGAAUGGGAAAAAAGAUAUUUGAUAAUGUUGCUCUCCGUGAAGUCUAAUAUUUUAAUGAAAAAUGGAAUUAUUACUGGCCAAAAAAAGGAAACAGCAAAAAAAUCGAAACAUUUUGUAGCUUACAGCUGUAAGAAGUUAGGAAGAACAAUCUGACAGUAAAAUUCAUUGGGUUUUGGUUUUGAUUUGGGGUCUUUUUGGAAUGCAAAAGUCUAAUUGCAUAGUUUGAAGCUUUAUGUCUCAGUUUAACUUAAUUAAAAACUCUUUUAGGAAAUAUUCCUUAUUGUCUCAAAUGCUGUGGGGUUUUUUGUUUGUUUAUUUGUUUGUUUUUAAGGAGGUCAGUGGGGUUGAUGAAAAAUAAAGUUGUAUACCAUUAGGUGUUUUCUCUGUUGUGUCCAUCUUCUACACAUCUCUUUCUUACAUUCAACUCAAGUCAGUUUUGAUCCCUAUAGGGUUCUGCUGAAUUAUGAAUGUUUUACAAAUAACAUACAAGCUUAAGUCCUGUUGAUACCUUCACCUAAAGUCCUUUGUCUACUAUAUUACUAAACUACUGCCUGAACAUCUACUAAACUAUCAUAUUAAUAAAAUCUGGCCUUUUCUAAUUAGAACAGAAUGAUAGAAAGAUUUAGGUUGGAAAGGACUUAUGUAGGUCAGCUGGUCCAAUUCUCUGCACAAAGUGGAGCAAACUUCAGUUAGAGCAUGUUGCUCAGGGCCUCAUCCAGUUGAGUUUUGGAUAUCUCCAAGGAUUGAAAUUACUUGUUUGGGAAACCUGUACCAGUGCUUAACUUCUCCAUUGUACAUAUCACAGAAAUGUGUCAUAAAAACAUCUAACAAAUGUAGAUGUUAUUUAGAAUAAUUUUGCUAGUAAUAAACUGGCUAUAUUAUAAACUCUUGC